CUACGUCGCACCUGACAGAUUGUGACAGGUGACAGGUCAGCUGGCGGGCGCGCUCUCCGCCUACAGCGACAGUCUGCUCUAUCUGGUGCCCGCCGUCGCCGCAGAGAGUGACGCGCUCCGCCGCAGCGCGCUCACCGCAAAACUCACCAGGUCAGACACACGCUACGUCGCACCUGACAGAUUGUGACAGGUGACAGGUGACAGGUCAGCUGGCGGGCGCGCUCUCCGCCUACAGCGACAGUCUGCUCUAUCUGGUGCCCGCCGUCGCCGCAGAGAGUGACGCGCUCCGCCGCAGCGCGCUCACCGCAAAACUCACCAGGUCAGACACACGCUACGUCGCACCUGACAGAUUGUGACAGGUGACAGGUGACAGGUCAGCUGGCGGGCGCGCUCUCCGCCUACAGCGACAGUCUGCUCUAUCUGGUGCCCGCCGUCGCCGCAGAGAGUGACGCGCUCCGCCGCAGCGCGCUCACCGCAAAACUCACCAGGUCAGACACACGCUACGUCGCACCUGACAGAUUGUGACAGGUGACAGGUCAGCUGGCGGGCGCGCUCUCCGCCUACAGCGACAGUCUGCUCUAUCUGGUGCCCGCCGUCGCCGCAGAGAGUGACGCGCUCCGCCGCAGCGCGCUCACCGCAAAACUCACCAGGUCAGACACACGCUACGUCGCACCUGACAGAUUGUGACAGGUGACAGGUCAGCUGGCGGGCGCGCUCUCCGCCUACAGCGACAGUCUGCUCUAUCUGGUGCCCGCCGUCGCCGCAGAGAGUGACGCGCUCCGCCGCAGCGCGCUCACCGCAAAACUCACCAGGUCAGACACACGCUACGUCGCACCUGACAGAUUGUGACAGGUGACAGGUCAGCUGGCGGGCGCGCUCUCCGCCUACAGCGACAGUCUGCUCUAUCUGGUGCCCGCCGUCGCCGCAGAGAGUGACGCGCUCCGCCGCAGCGCGCUCACCGCAAAACUCACCAGGUCAGACACACGCUACGUCGCACCUGACAGAUUGUGACAGGUGACAGGUCAGCUGGCGGGCGCGCUCUCCGCCUACAGCGACAGUCUGCUCUAUCUGGUGCCCGCCGUCGCCGCAGAGAGUGACGCGCUCCGCCGCAGCGCGCUCACCGCAAAACUCACCAGGUCAGACACACGCUACGUCGCACCUGACAGAUUGUGACAGGUGACAGGUCAGCUGGCGGGCGCGCUCUCCGCCUACAGCGACAGUCUGCUCUAUCUGGUGCCCGCCGUCGCCGCAGAGAGUGACGCGCUCCGCCGCAGCGCGCUCACCGCAAAACUCACCAGGUCAGACACACGCUACGUCGCACCUGACAGAUUGUGACAGGUGACAGGUCAGCUGGCGGGCGCGCUCUCCGCCUACAGCGACAGUCUGCUCUAUCUGGUGCCCGCCGUCGCCGCAGAGAGUGACGCGCUCCGCCGCAGCGCGCUCACCGCAAAACUCACCAGGUCAGACACACGCUACGUCGCACCUGACAGAUUGUGACAGGUGACAGGUCAGCUGGCGGGCGCGCUCUCCGCCUACAGCGACAGUCUGCUCUAUCUGGUGCCCGCCGUCGCCGCAGAGAGUGACGCGCUCCGCCGCAGCGCGCUCACCGCAAAACUCACCAGGUCAGACACACGCUACGUCGCACCUGACAGAUUGUGACAGGUGACAGGUGACAGGUCAGCUGGCGGGCGCGCUCUCCGCCUACAGCGACAGUCUGCUCUAUCUGGUGCCCGCCGUCGCCGCAGAGAGUGACGCGCUCCGCCGCAGCGCGCUCACCGCAAAACUCACCAGGUCAGACACACGCUACGUCGCACCUGACAGAUUGUGACAGGUGACAGGUGACAGGUCAGCUGGCGGGCGCGCUCUCCGCCUACAGCGACAGUCUGCUCUAUCUGGUGCCCGCCGUCGCCGCAGAGAGUGACGCGCUCCGCCGCAGCGCGCUCACCGCAAAACUCACCAGGUCAGACACACGCUACGUCGCACCUGACAGAUUGUGACAGGUGACAGGUGACAGGUCAGCUGGCGGGCGCGCUCUCCGCCUACAGCGACAGUCUGCUCUAUCUGGUGCCCGCCGUCGCCGCAGAGAGUGACGCGCUCCGCCGCAGCGCGCUCACCGCAAAACUCACCAGGUCAGACACACGCUACGUCGCACCUGACAGAUUGUGACAGGUGACAGGUCAGCUGGCGGGCGCGCUCUCCGCCUACAGCGACAGUCUGCUCUAUCUGGUGCCCGCCGUCGCCGCAGAGAGUGACGCGCUCCGCCGCAGCGCGCUCACCGCAAAACUCACCAGGUCAGACACACGCUACGUCGCACCUGACAGAUUGUGACAGGUGACAGGUCAGCUGGCGGGCGCGCUCUCCGCCUACAGCGACAGUCUGCUCUAUCUGGUGCCCGCCGUCGCCGCAGAGAGUGACGCGCUCCGCCGCAGCGCGCUCACCGCAAAACUCACCAGGUCAGACACACGCUACGUCGCACCUGACAGAUUGUGACAGGUGACAGGUCAGCUGGCGGGCGCGCUCUCCGCCUACAGCGACAGUCUGCUCUAUCUGGUGCCCGCCGUCGCCGCAGAGAGUGACGCGCUCCGCCGCAGCGCGCUCACCGCAAAACUCACCAGGUCAGACACACGCUACGUCGCACCUGACAGAUUGUGACAGGUGACAGGUCAGCUGGCGGGCGCGCUCUCCGCCUACAGCGACAGUCUGCUCUAUCUGGUGCCCGCCGUCGCCGCAGAGAGUGACGCGCUCCGCCGCAGCGCGCUCACCGCAAAACUCACCAGGUCAGACACACGCUACGUCGCACCUGACAGAUUGUGACAGGUGACAGGUCAGCUGGCGGGCGCGCUCUCCGCCUACAGCGACAGUCUGCUCUAUCUGGUGCCCGCCGUCGCCGCAGAGAGUGACGCGCUCCGCCGCAGCGCGCUCACCGCAAAACUCACCAGGUCAGACACACGCUACGUCGCACCUGACAGAUUGUGACAGGUGACAGGUCAGCUGGCGGGCGCGCUCUCCGCCUACAGCGACAGUCUGCUCUAUCUGGUGCCCGCCGUCGCCGCAGAGAGUGACGCGCUCCGCCGCAGCGCGCUCACCGCAAAACUCACCAGGUCAGACACACGCUACGUCGCACCUGACAGAUUGUGACAGGUGACAGGUCAGCUGGCGGGCGCGCUCUCCGCCUACAGCGACAGUCUGCUCUAUCUGGUGCCCGCCGUCGCCGCAGAGAGUGACGCGCUCCGCCGCAGCGCGCUCACCGCAAAACUCACCAGAUACAUGGAGAGAGCUGAAGAAAUCAAAAGAUAUUUAAAAGGAGAAAGCAAUCGUCAAGUUCAAUGUAAACCGGAACAGCAGAGAUAUGUAAGACCUGGUCAAGUAGAGGUCGCGCCAAAUGUACAAGAUACUACCAGUUGUGUUCAAGAAACAAUAAAAGAACAAGAACUAGAAACAGAGGAACAGAACAAAA